rnacentral:rRNA from 1 species
GGAUCAAUUAAUCGGUCGUGCCUCCGGUACGCACUGGUUUUAUUGGUUCCUCCCUUCUGACGAAUCAUGAUGUCAUUAAUUUGAUGUCGUGGAGAAUCAGGACUGUUACCUUGAAAAAAUUAGAGUGUUUAAAGCAGGCUAACGCUUGAAUACAUUAGCAUGGAAUAAUGAAAUAGGACGUUCGACCCUAUUUUGUUGGUUUCUAGGAUCGACGUAAUGAUU